GGCUGGAAUACCCACUUUCGGCCCACUAAGUGAUAUCCUCUGCGCAGCCCAGCCAGAUCAACGCUGGCACGUUGGACCCACACGUCAUACCGCGCGCUCAUCACCGCUCUGCCAAUGCCACAGCGGGCCCACUCGCCAGUCUUCCCUCGCGCCUACUUCCUCGUCUGUGCCACUGAGUCACUGGACCCACUUCCCAGCCGAUCGACCACGCGUCUGUGUUCCUCCGGUGUGACUUACAUGUGGGCCCGAAUGGUUUGCACUCGUCUCUAACAACCUCACCGCGCAUGGCGGAGCUCCGCCGAGAGCUUCGGAGUUGUCCGUUGCGUGCGCCUGGACCGGUCUGAGGAGAUUUAAGUGCGGAGGAACCGAAGCCUUGACCCUCUCUCUUCACCACGUCUCUGCUCACCUCGUCGAGAAACAGUUUGAGAGAGAAAGGGGGGCGGGAGAGAGAUUUAGGCCGCCGCCUGCGAAUCUCGUCACCAUGGGCUGUCUGACCUCGGUGAAGGGCCGGGGAGGGUCGUCUGCACUUGGUGUUGUUGUCCGUGGCCGCAAUCGAAAAGGAGAGGCCACAGGACUGCGGCAAUUUCUCGCCGUCGACUAGUUUGCCGCCGCGGGCAACUUCACACCGCGACCGGGUACUUCUACGGCGUCAAGUCCGGUAUGUCACCCAUCCAUGAGUUCACCGUAGCCUCCGCAUUGUGUCGAUGCCGUUAAAUUUGGGAAUGGUUUCCUUGGACACGGGCGGGCAGUUCACCGGCGUAAUCGCCGCCGCGGUGGAGUUCUCGGCGGCUGUGUGCCCAGCGUAAGGGAGGAGACGGGCUAGGGCCAUCGAUCUUGCGAUGUGCGGUUAGGAUCGGAUUAGGGCAAAAGCGAUUCUCUGCCGUUGGAUUCCGAUCCCGCGAUCACGGUUUGAUCUGUAGAUUUAAAACCGGGACCGUCAGAUCUGGAUCCGGGGGGGCUGCGCUGCGUACCGUUUCGUGGCUUAGGCAAUCUAAUCCGAUGCGUCCGUUGUAGAUCGGGCGGUGGAUCGUGGCCCGUACUCUUUCGGCCGAGCAAACAUUCAAAAGAGUCCCUGUAGUUUAUAGAAAUUAACCCGCCGUCCGUAAGGAUGUAGUUCUGAGUCUUAGGGAUUUUACCCCGAGCCCCCUGCACUCUCUAAAAAUAGUGCGCCGAGUCCAGAGAAUAAGAAAAAUCACAGAAAUGAAUUUAGGAAUAGAAUUUUAAUAUUAAAUUAAUUGCAGAAACUUGUUUAAUUUGUAGAAAAUCCAUUCUAGUCCAAAUUGACCCAUUCAAGUUUCUAAAAUUUUAUAAUUUUAUUCUCUACCACCUAGAGCCUCUGUUUGGCCAUGAAAACAAUAAGAAAUUUAAUUUUCCAUUUAAUCCUAUUUUAAACAUAUAAAACCUUUGAAAAUUCAUAACUUAAAAUCUAUAACUCCAAAAAUUAUGAUUCCUGUUCCUAGGAUUUUAUUUUAAUAUGUAGAAUAUUGCUGUGUAUUUUGUUCACAUGCUUGGUGUGAUGUUAAUUUUUCCCUGUAUAUUGUGCUUGUUUGUAUUGUGGCGAGUAGAAGAGCCCGUUGCUGAGGAUCCUGGUGAGCAGCAGAUAGAAGUAGCUGAGCAGGAGCUCAUUGAAGGCAAGUUAUGCCCUUGACCACUUUUUACCCAAUAAUGUUCUUUAAUGUCACUUAUUCAUGCAUAGGUUAAUUUUGAUGGGACCCGAUAGGUCACCCUAGAUUGUUUAUCUCAUUACCUUGUUUACCCCUGAAUCACUUGGGUAGUUUGCUAUUGCUUUACAUGGUUUUGGGAUAAUCAUUUAUUAUAUCUAUGUUCCAAUUAUUCUUUUGUUAUUCUAUUUAUGUUCAUGUCAAGUUCAUUAAUGUUAAUUGGAACAUAGAGCUUAACUUGAGAACCACGUGCCACCACAAGGGUUUAAUGGGACGCCCUUGGCUGACUAAUUAGGAAAGCUAGUGGAAGACUACCUUACCCGAAAGGGGCAAGGGCAGUAGGGGAGUGGUCAGUGUAGGGAGGUCCUUGGUUGAUUUUGCUGCGAUGGCGGUCAGGCAAGAACCCUGCAUUGGAGCUUUCUAUAAACUGUAGCGGGUUUUCGGAAGCUAGUGGAACUUUGUAAAUGCCUCGUAGUGUUGCCCUGCCGCGCUUCCUAGGUAGAGGUGUAUGGGAGUCGCAACCCCUUGGCAAAUGGGUAACAUGACUUGUGGGUAAAGGGUACAACCUCUGCAGAGUGUAAAACUGGUAUACUAGCCGAGCUCACGGUCAUGAGCAGCUCAAGACUCUCUGAUGAUUAAAUUAUGGAACCUAAAUUCAAUUUUGUCAUUUGCAUAUGCAUGGGUUUAUUAUUAAUUUGUUCUAUUACUUUAUUUUAGGUUUGGUAUUUACUUACACUUAGUAAUUGCUAAUAAAAUUUUGACCAACUACUUAAAAGCAAUGCUCAGCUUUAACCAUUCUCUUUGAUAAGCCUUACACUCCAUGAGCUUCCACCUUUGGUGAGUUCAUGUCACAUUAUUCCCCACGACUUGUUGAGCGAUGAACGUAUGUGAGCUCACUCUUGCUGUCUCACACCCCCCCACAGGAGAAGAACAGGUGGUUUAGGAGGAGCCACAAGGCGAGGAGUUUGAUCUGAUCUAGGUGGCAUUUCUCAGUUGACAUUGGCGCCAACGAUCCUUAGUUCGUUUUAUGUUUAUUCUUUUAUUUUGUAAUAAGUCUUCCGCUAUGUAAUAAAUACUCUGAUGUUUUAUGACAUUUAUCUCUAUACACUCUGUUAUUAUAUAUGUUGUCUUCUUGGCGCAUGUAUGAGAUGCACCUGGCUUUGUUCCUUAAAGCCGGGUGUGACAGGAGUGGUAUCAGAGGAAAUGUUGACUGUAGGACGAAACCUAGAUAGAAAUGGACAAAACCUUACCUACUUACCUUAUUCUGAUUCAUUCUAUACUUACCUUCUUCUGAUUCAUUCUAUACUUACCUUACUCUGAUUCUCUUUAUACUUAUCUUGAUCCUGUCUCACCUUCUACUGUUCCCCUCUGAUCAUUCUUAUCUUUUCUACUCUAAGACAAGAUGGAUUUCACACCUUGGAAUCCUACAUCUAUGAUAUUUUAAGAGAUAGGGAACCUAAGACAAAAUUAAAACUAUUUUCUCUAUUUAAAAUGUUGCUUGAUUGUUCUGAUGAUAAAUGUCUGAUUUGCUUCUUUGAUUGAUUGAAUUAUUAUAGAUGGACAUCUUAGCAUGUACCACCAUAAGAUAUUAAGUUAACUUUAGUAGGUGACACACUAAUCUACUUAGUUAAUAAAUCCCCCACAGUAACAUUCCUCGUAAUUACUCACCUUAUCUACAAUUCUUCCUUUCUUACCCUGUAUUUCUAACCCAGAUGGGCUACCCCCAUAGUGUUAGAAGAGAGCACUAUACACGUGAUCUUUGGUAUGUUAUGGUUAAGAAAGGCAAAGGCAGUAUAUACAUUGUGCUAAGGGAACCUUAGAACUCACCAGUUCCAAAGGAGAAAGAUUGAAGUUGGAAUUGUAGUAACUACCGCCACCGGACUAGCGACAUUCUUAGUAGAUGGGAAGUUUGUUGGUGACAACAUCCGUGAGGUUAAGGAUGUUCCGGAUGUCUUUCCAGAGGAGUUACGAGGGAUGCCACCGGAUACGGAAGUUGAGUUUGUCAUUGAUCCCUUACCUGAGACUGCUCCUAUUUCUAAACGGUCGUACAGGAUGUCCACAGAAGAACUAAAGGAACUUAAGAAGCAAUUAACGGAAUUACAAGAGGCUGGGUACAUUCAUCCGAGUUCUUCACCUUGUGGAGCGUCAGUUCUAUUUGUACAGAAGAAAGAUGGAUCGCAAGGGAUGUGCGUGGAUUAUAGGACCCUUAAUGAUGUUAUCAUGAAGAACAAGUGUCCGUUACCCCGCAUUGAGGAUUUAUUUGGUCAGAUGAGAGGUGCAAGGGUGUUCUCUAAGAUUGACCUCAGAUCGGGUUACCAUCAAAUGAAGAUUAGGCCCUCGAAUAUUCCCAAGACAACUUUCCUGACCCGAUAUGGAUUAUAUGAGUUCACUAUUAUGUCGUUUAGAUUAACCAAUGCACCAGCUUAUUUUAUGAAUUUGAUGAAUAAGGUGUUUAUGGAGUAUUUGGACAGAUUCGUCGUGGUAUUCAUCGACGAUAUUCUUAUCUAUUCCAAGAGUGAUAUUGAUCAUGAGGAACAUCUGAGAUUGGUGCUACAGAAGCUACGAGAUGAUCAACUCUACGCCAAGUUUAGCAAGUGCGAGUUUUGGAUUGGUGAGGUGCCAUUUCUCGGAUAUAUUAUUUCUAAUGGAGGGAUAUCAGUGGAUCCUGCUAAGGUUAAGGAGAUAAUGGAGUGGAGAGUACCCACCACAGUUACUGAGAUUCGGAGUUUUUUGGGACUAGCAGGAUAUUAUCGGAGAUUUAUUGAAGGAUUUUCUAAGAUUGCUAAGCCUAUGACUUCGCUUCUGGAGAAAGGAAGAGAAUUUAAGUGGGACGAGAAGUGCCAAGACAGCUUCGAUCAAUUGAAGAAAAGAUUGAUGUCGUCACCAGUAUUGGUUAUGCCAGACCUACAGAAAGGAUUUGAUAUCUAUUGUGAUGCAUGUGGCCAAGGCUUAGGAUGUGUGCUCAUGCAGGAAGGACAUGUGAUUGCCUAUGCGUCUCGUCAGUUACAGAAACAUGAAUUGAACUACCCCACUCAUGACUUGGAAUUGGCAGCCGUUGUGCACGCGCUUAGGAUUUGGAGACAUUAUAUUAUGGGAACCAAGUGUCAAGUAUACACAAAUCAUAAGAGUUUGAAGUAUGUAUUUAUUCAGAAGGAUCUCAACCUUAGGCAACGCCGUUGGAUGGAGCUUAAUAAGAAUUAUGAUUUGGAGAUUCACUAUCACCUGGGCCCAAAUUUGGUUGCAGAUGCCUUGAGUCGAAAGGAGCAUGUUCAUUCAGCUGUUGUUGCCCAGUUACCUGAUGAGAUUGUUGAGGAUUUCAGGAGACUUAACCUGGGGAUAGUUGCUCACGCUGAAGAAGUUACUAUUGAUGUGGAACCUACUUUGGAGCAAGAAAUCCGCAAAGGACAAAUUGGUGAUGCUAAGAUACAAGAGAUUAAGGAUCUGAUUACUGAAGGUCGAGGUCCGGAAUUCAUGGAAGAUGAACAAGGCACUGUGUGGUUCAAGGACAGGAUAUGUGUUGCCGAGAUUGAUAACCUUCGAGAGACUAUAAUAAAGGAAGCCCAUGACUCAGAUUAUUCUAUUCAUCCUGGGAGUACCAAGAAGUAUCAGGAUUUGAAGCUGAAAUACCGGUGGUAUGGAUUGAAGAGAGAUGUAGCUGCACAGGUGGCUAGGUGUGUUGUGUGUCAAAGAGUUAAGACCGAACAUCGAAGACCAGCUGGACUAUUAUACCCAUUAAAGAUACCCGAAUGGUGGUGGGAAGAGAUUGGUAUGGAUUUCAUUACUGGAUUGCCCCGCACCUCGAAAGGAUGUGAUUCUAUAUGGGUUAUUGUGGAUAGACUGACCAAAGUGGCUCAUUUCAUUCCGGUCAAGACUACUUAUAAGUGACCUCAAUUGGCUGAGUUAUAUAUGGCUCGGAUUGUGUCUCUACACGCUGUACCGAAGAAGAUCAUUUUGGCUAGAGGAUCACAGUUUACCCCUAGAUUUUGGAAAAGUUUUCAUGAGAAUAUGGAUGCGAAGUUGAAUUUUAGUUCGGCCUACCUCAGACUGAUGGAUAGACUGAAAGGACUAAUCAAGUAUUGGAGGAUAUGUUGAGGGCUUGUGCCCUUCAGCAUUGAGGAAGUUGGGAUAAAAGUCUAUCAUAUGCUAAGUUUUCAUAUAAUAAUAGCUAUCAGGCCAGUCGGAAGAUGUCACCUUUUGAAGCUCUAUAUGGGAGGAAGUGCAGGACUCCUCUAUAUUGGAUUAGACUGGAGAAAGACAGUUCUUUGGGCCUGAACUGAUUCAAGAAGCAGAAGAACAAGUCCGUAUAAUUCGAGAGAAUUUGAGGGUAGCUCAAACCAGACAAAAGAGCUACGCAGAUAAUAGAAGAAGGCCACUGGAAUUUGAAGAAGGAGAUUAUGUGUAUCUCAAGGUGUCACACUUCGUGGAAUGAGGAGAUUUAAAGUUAAGGGCAAAUUGUCCCCUCGUUAUAUUGGACCAUUCUUGAUUUUUAGGCGAGCUGGGGAGAUGGCAUACCAACUCGAGUUACCUGAUAGUCUAUCGGAUGUGCAUAAUGUGUUCCAUGUAUCUCAACUAAAGAAGUGUCUCCGUGUCCCUGAGGAACAGUUACCCAUGGAAGAGCUCAGUGUUCAAGGUGAUUUGACUUACACGGAGUACCCGAUCAAGAUUUUGGAUACUUUGACUCGAGUUACAAGAAAUAAGGUGAUAAAGAUGUGCAAAGUCCAAUGGAGUCACCACGGUGAAGAUGAAGCAACUUGGGAAAGAGAAGAAGAGCUUCGUAUAGAUUUUCCCCACCUUUUCCCUCGUUCUUCCUAAAUCUCGAGGACGAGAUUAUUUUUAAGGGGGGUAGGAUUUGUAACACCCACUUUGUAGAAAAAAAUCUAGAAAGAGAAAUCAUAGUACUCUAUAGAUAUUGUGUUAUCUCUAUUCAUUAUUCCAUGUAAACACCCUAUGCAAAAGCAGAUAGUUAAUAAAAGAAUCUAUGCCAUUAAAAUUAUGCAUCAUGCUGAAUAUUAAUUUUUGUGGUGUGCAUUCUGUGACAACAUAAAAUAAUAUAAAAGAAAAGAAAUAUGUUAAAAUCCAAAUUGGAAUUUAAGUUCUCAAAGGAAAAUUCAAGAAUUUGAGAAAGAAAAGAAAGAACACUAAACAAAGAUAAAGAAAAUAAUUAUAAAGAAAAUAGUUAGAUCUCCUUAUUUGGGUUCAAAUUGUACAUUUAGAAUGAAUAUAAAUUCACAGUUAAACUUGAAUUCAAAUUUGAAUUCUAGAAAUUAAAAAGGAAAAGGAAAGUAAAGGAAAAAUAAAAAGAAAAGAAAAAAAACGGAUAUUGGGCUGGAAUACCCACUUUCGGCCCACUAAGGGACAUCCUCUGCGCAGCCCAGCCAGAUCAACGCUGGCACGUUGGACCCACACGUCAUACCGCGCGCUCAUCACCGCUCUGCCAAUGCCACAGCGGGCCCACUCGCCAGUCUUCCCUCGCGCCUACUUCCUCGUCUGUGCCACUGAGUCACUGGACCCACUUCCCAACCGAUCGACCACGCGUCUGCGUUCCUCCGGUGUGACUUACAUGUGGGCCCGAAUGGUUUGCACUCGUCUCUAACAACCUCACCGCGCAUGGCGGAGCUCC
rnacentral:lncRNA from 1 species